rnacentral:rRNA from 1 species
ACGGGUGAGUAACACGUGGAUAACCUACCUAUAAGACUGGGAUAACUUCGGGAAACCGGAGCUAAUACCGGAUAACAUAUUGAACCGCAUGGUUCAAUAGUGAAAGGCGGCUUUGCUGUCACUUAUAGAUGGAUCCGCGCCGUAUUAGCUAGUUGGUAAGGUAACGGCUUACCAAGGCAACGAUACGUAGCCGACCUGAGAGGGUGAUCGGCCACACUGGAACUGAGACACGGUCCAGACUCCUACGGGAGGCAGCAGUAGGGAAUCUUCCGCAAUGGGCGAAAGCCUGACGGAGCAACGCCGCGUGAGUGAUGAAGGUCUUCGGAUCGUAAAACUCUGUUAUCAGGGAAGAACAAAUGUGUAAGUAACUGUGCACAUCUUGUCGGUACCUGAUCAGAAAGCCACGGCUAACUACGUGCCAGCAGCCGCGGUAAUACGUAGGUGGCAAGCGUUAUCCGGAAUUAUUGGGCGUAAAGCGCGCGUAGGCGGUUUUUUAAGUCUGAUGUGAAAGCCCACGGCUCAACCGUGGAGGGUCAUUGGAAACUGGAAAACUUGAGUGCAGAAGAGGAAAGUGGAAUUC